CUACGGGGUGCAGCAGUGGGGAAUAUUGGACAAUGGGGGAAACCCUGAUCCAGCAAUGCCGCGUGUGUGAAGAAGGCCUGCGGGUUGUAAAGCACUUUCGGUUGGGAGGACUGCUUCUAGCACUAAUAUUGUUGGAAGUUGACGUUACCUUCAGAAGAAGCACCGGCUAACUCCGUGCCAGCAGCCGCGGUGAAUACGGAGGGUGCAAGCGUGAAUCGGAAUUACUGGGCGUAAAGCGCGCGUAGGCGGCUAGAUCAGUCGGGUGUGAAAGCCCCGGGCUUAACCUGGGAACUGCAUCCGAUACUGUCUAGCUUGAGUACAGGAGAGGAGAGUGGAAUUCCACAUGUAGCGGUGAAAUGCGUAGAUAUGUGGAGGAACACCAAUGGCGAAGGCAGCUCUCUGGCCUGAUACUGACGCUGAGGUGCGAAAGCGUGGGGAGCAAACAGGAUUAGAUACCCUUGUAGUC
rnacentral:rRNA from 1 species